GAAAUUAGUCGUGACGAAUUCAUUGCAGCAGCAAUGGAUUUUUACUUCGGUGUGGAAGAGACCGAGCUAUCGAAUGCGUUUUACGGAAAAUUGCUGCCUUAAUUGUUGACCGCUAUCCAACGCAAUGAAGUGCAUGCAGCAUACAUACGUUUUGUGUAACGUUAAUUAAACAGUAGAAUAGCAACGCGAUAUUGAAGUUAGAACUUCAUUUAUGGAAAAUACAAAUCCAUAUUUGUACUGGAAGCCGAUUUGUUAAUAAUCAUUGAAUGAAAUUAAAUGUGUUUCGUGCAUUAAGUUCGUGGUAAUACUGUAU